rnacentral:rRNA from 1 species
GAUGAACGCUGGCGGCGUGCCUAAUACAUGCAAGUCGAGCGAACGGACGAGCAGCUUGCUGCUCUGAUGUUAGCGGCGGACGGGUGAGUAACACGUGGAUAACCUACCUAUAAGACUGGGAUAACUUCGGGAAACCGGAGCUAAUACCGGAUAAUAUUUUGAACCGCAUGGUUCAAUAGUGAAAGACGGUUUUGCUGUCACUUAUAGAUGGAUCCGCGCUGCAUUAGCUAGUUGGUAAGGUAACGGCUUACCAAGGCAACGAUGCGUAGCCGACCUGAGAGGGUGAUCGGCCACACUGGAACUGAGACACGGUCCAGACUCCUACGGGAGGCAGCAGUAGGGAAUCUUCCGCAAUGGGCGAAAGCCUGACGGAGCAACGCCGCGUGAGUGAUGAAGGUCUUCGGAUCGUAAAACUCUGUUAUUAGGGAAGAACAAAUGUGCAAGUAACGGUGCACAUCUUGACGGUACCUAAUCAGAAAGCCACGGCUAACUACGUG